GGCAGCAGCUGGUGAUGGGGAUCGUCCGCCCUUCUCUGUUUGCGGCGGCCGUCCCUGAAAUAUAGUGGCGGUCCCGACGCGAUCUCCUCUGUGCAGUAGUGAUACCUCGCAGCUGGAUAGCGACGCGGCCCACGCCGUAAAACCCCCCAAUCUUUUACGUGGUUGACCUCGGAUCAGGCAGGAAUACCCGCUGAACUUAA
rnacentral:misc_RNA from 1 species